ensembl:lincRNA
AUGCUGCUCUUUUCCUUCCCAGCGGCAGAGUUCGGGGAGCCCACUUCCGAGCAGACAGGGACAGCUGCUGGGAAAACUGUUGCUCAAACCGCAGCCUCGGUGUCCUGGAAGCCCCAGGAUUCUUCGGAACAGUCACAGGAGAAGCUCUGCAAGAAUCCAUGUGCGAUGUUUGCUGCUGGAGAGAUCAAAACGUCGACAGGGGAGGGCCUUCUUGACUCACCCAGCAAAACCAUGUCUAUUAAAGAAAGGUUGGCACUGUUGAAGAAAAGCGGGGAGGAAGAUUGGAGAAACAGACUCAGCAGGAGGCAGGAGGGCGGCAAGGCGCUUGCCAGCAGCCUGCACACCCAGGAAACAGGGCGGUCCCUCAUCAAGAAGCGGGUCACAGAGAGUCGAGAGAGCCAGAUAACGAUUGAGGAAAGGAAGCAGCUCAUCACUGUGAGAGAGGAGGCCUGGAAGACGAGAGGCAGAGGAGCGGCAACGACUCCACCCAGUUCACUGUGGCUGGCAGGAUGCUGAAGAAAGGUUUGGCGUCACCCACUGCCAUAACCCCAGUAGCCUCACCCAUUUGCAGUAAAACAAGAGGCACCACACCCAUUUCCAAACCCCUGGAAGGUAAGUCACCAAGGCCCUGGCCACGCCAAGCCUGAUCAGAAGAGGCCUUAGUGAUGCGGUCUCACUGACAGUUUCUGCUUGCCUAGAUAUCGAAGCCAGACCAGAUAUGCAGUUAGACCUGAAGUUGGACAGGCUGGAAACCUUUCUAAGAAGGCUGAAUAACAAAG